GCUAGGAUGAACGCUAGCUACAGGCCUAACACAUGCAAGUCGAGGGGUAGCAGGGUAGCAAUACCGCUGACGACCGGCGCACGGGUGAGUAACACGUAUCCAACCUUCCCAUAACUCAGGGAUAGCCUUUACGAAAGAAAGAUUAAUACCUGAUAGUACUUUUUCAAGGCAUCUUGAGAAAGUUAAAGAUUUAUUGGUUAUGGAUGGGGAUGCGUUCCAUUAGAUAGUUGGUGAGGUAACGGCUCACCAAGUCUUCGAUGGAUAGGGGUUCUGAGAGGAAGGUCCCCCACAUUGGUACUGAGACACGGACCAAACUCCUACGGGAGGCAGCAGUGAGGAAUAUUGGUCAAUGGGCGAGAGCCUGAACCAGCCAAGUAGCGUGAAGGAUGAAGGUCCUAUGGAUUGUAAACUUCUUUUAUAGUAGAAUAAAGUGAUCCACGUGUGGAUUUUUGUAUGUAUACUAUGAAUAAGGAUCGGCUAACUCCGUGCCAGCCGCUGC
rnacentral:rRNA from 1 species